rnacentral:lncRNA from 1 species
AGGCCGCCGCCGCCACACUACAUCCUCCAGGCCCCUGUCUUCCCCUCGCCAAGCCUAGCCAGACGCGGCCGGCGGCCCCCGCGGCUCUAGGUCGCCGGUCGCUUGGCCCUGCGCUCGCCGUCCGGCGGUCCGGCCUCCCUGCCCCGGUGCUCCUUCGACUCGGCGACUCCCUCCACUUCCAGUACCCAAUCGGUAAUGCCCACUGUCCUCUCACUCUGCUUGCUCCUCUGCGGCUCUGCCCACUCUUCUCUCCCCGAAAUCUCUGUUCUUUAGUUUAGAGCUACGUAGUUGAUUAGUGUAAAAAAGCCGAAUUAAUCUGUCAUGAGUUGAGUACAAAUCAAAUGAAUAUGUCAUGAAUUGAUAUUCCCCUUCAAUAAUCUGCUGGUCCAAUUUAAUUUUGUACAAAUCAAAUGAAUAUGUGAUUAAUUGAAUAUCUUGAAGAUUUAAACAUGGGAGCAUCUGAUCAAUCAACCCUUUCAUUUGGUAUGUUGUCUUUUGCAAUGCAUUACCUUAGUAGUUGAGCGGUUGGAUAUUGUGUCCAAACUAUUAGCAAUUAUCUUGGAAUUUUUUUGGCCCGAGACGUGAGCAUUUCCUGGCUCAGCCAUUGGGUUCAGUCGCCUUGUGUAGCAUGACCUGCUCCUAUGCAGGGAGAGGGAGUGAGCGAGGUUUGAUUAGUCCAUCGAGUCGUAACAAGACUUCCCGUCAGUUGGCGUCGAUGAUUCUCAACACUCUUUGUUGGACCGGUCCAUACUAGACUUCCCGGACUCGACCCUAGGGGAUCCCUGAACUAUGCUCCCUAGGCCCUCCCCCGAGUUUAUUCAAAUAACGGUGAAAUAACUUACAACCACCCCUUGGGGGUAUUUCUAGCCUUAUAUAUGGUCCAUGACAAUUGUCAAAUGAACAUGUAUGCCCAUUGGCGAGAGGGUAUGAUGGGAAGAAUUUCCUGAAUUUAUUUUAGUCCUAUACAAAAAAACACAUGGAUAUUAGAGUAAGUUGCAGAGUUAUAUAGUCCAGAGCAAAGCCAAGUUCUAAGAAAAAAAAUUGGAGGCAGGAACCGCCACAUUUUUCAUAUAACAGACGGAAAUCAUUAUCUAUACAUAACCAAUUAACCAAGAUGCGGUUUUAGAGUAAGAUCCAGAGUUAUAUAGUCCUGAAAAAAGCCAAGUACUAUGCAAUUUUUUUGGGGGGCAGGAACCCGCCCCAUUUUUCAUUUAAUAGAUGGAAAAACAUCUUGAGCUAUACAUAACCAUGAUGCUCAAUGACACAUGAGACUUACAAACACACACAAGCAACUUAUAGUUCAUUUAGAUACCCCAGUUGGCUGCAGAGAAAAGAAUGUCCUCACAUUUGAAUACAAACACAUAUAGGAGCGUAAUCAAGUUCUUCGCACACAGGCAGAAUAAAAAAAAAUUAAAGCAUGCGUGAAUGGAUGAACCAAUCCUGCUGAAUUGAUGGACAGCCUUGUAAGCUUGAAAUGAAGGAAGCGCAGAUGCACUUGCCUGCUUGACCUCACUAGCACCAUAUUCCAUUAUCAUCAAUGAAGUUUGGAUGUGCUUCUAUGGCUUGCUUCACCUGAUCUGGUAGCCUGAUACCAUCACAGUACACCCUUGAACCCAUAACACAAUUUAUCCUUACAUUUAGACACCCCAGCUGGCUGGCUGCAGAGAAAAGAACCUACAUUUGAAUACAAACACAUAUAGGAGCAUAAUCAAUUUCUUCGAACACAAGCAGAAUAAACAAUAAAAUAAAGCAUACGCGAAUGGACGGACCAAUCCGGCCUGCUGAAUAGAUGGAUCACCUUGUAAGCUUGAAAUCAAGGAACCGCAGAUGCACCAUAUACAUCAAUGAAGUUUGGAUGUGCUUCUAUGGCUUGGAACACCUGAUGUGGUAGCCUGAAAUCAUCAUUGAGCACCAUUUUGUUCAAUUUUGGAAGGUUGUUGAUUCCCGAGAGAGAUUUUAUCUCAUCGAUGAGCCAGACGAUUGUUUCAAGUCUAGGAGUUUCCCCAGUUUCGAACUCGAUGUCGGUGAUGCCGCCCCCCUCAACAAGAAGGCACUUGAGAUUUUGGAACCCAUUGGUCUGGAUUAUAAGCUUGCUCUCAGAGUGUAAUUUAACGUGCCAGAGCUUGAGGCCACGUAGGUUGGGCAAAUCUGCGAGGGACUCCAUACCAUCCUGGUCCAACAAGGUGUUAUGAAGAGUUACCUUGGCAAGUUUGUGGCAGCCUCUAGCAAAGAAUGGGAGAAGACGCCCAUACAUUGUGAGCCCACUGAUGCUCAAGCUUUCAAGAAGCUUGGGUGUGUUCUUACAAUGUGCACUUAUAGCAUCGGCGUCAGGAGGAGUAGCAACCGCCUCGCUGGCAGGCAGAAGCUUGAUCUUGAUUGACAGUGACACAAGGCACUCAUUCAGAUCGCUGAUCCCUUGGAGUAAGUUGUCAAGUUGAGCUUUCCAGUCGUAAAUGACCACACCAAACACCUUCAGUUGCCAUAGCUGGCCAAUCUCUCUCAGCUCGGUAGCAUGAUGUUUCGAUGCCUGGACAUGGACAACACUUCUAGGUCCGUCAUUUUCCUGACCUUGUGAGGCAUCAUGACGGUGGAAAGUAUGUUAGCAUCACCACCAGUGUCUUUGAAGCAUGCAUUUUGACCAGCCAGCAGACGCUUCAGCUUCAGUAGCAUGAGUUGUUUUAUGGCGGAGGUGUUCAUAGGAGUCCGCCGGAUGUCCAACACCUCCGGCUGUUGCAGCCUGUUGAUCUCCUUAGGCAGCUGAGUGACAUCUGUGUUCCGUAGGCUCAGAUACUUGAGCAGGAUUAACAAGGUGCACACGUUCCUAAGCCAUCGUUGGUUGUCUCUCAGGGAUGCACAGCCUUCCAGAUCCAGGACCUUGACGAGCUUUAAUUGAGAUGAUGCAUUGGAUGGUUGCUUCAGGAAGUUGACGAUGUUGUCUGAGGGACGGAGCCGGAUGUUGCUGAGAAUGGAGAAGUGCGAGCCAAGUGCCGAGACAGGUGUCUAUCCAGAAUGUGUUCUUUCUUGGCCAUCUUGGUGAUGAAGCUGUACACCGGUGGAUGCCAUGUAAUGCUCUUGACCUUCCCUCCAGCAUCAAUGUCACUAGGACAGACAAGCCAUAGGUCGGCAUGAACAUCAAAGCAACGCUCCGCCUGACCUACUGAACUUGACCAAUCUUGUCUAGCUAUCAGUCCUUCUGCAACCCACCUACCUAUUAACCUUGUCCGGUUUAUGUUCUCGUCUUUGUGGAAGAUUGCUAGAUACAGCAAGCAGGUCUUGUAAUCCCUAGGCAAGUCGUUAUAGGCGAACUUGAUCAUCUUGUAGCAAUUAGUUUCCACGGAUCCUCCAAACACGAGGUUGUUGCUCAACUUGUCGAGUUCUUCUCUGCGCCUCAUUGGAUUGACAAACAGAGCAUGGAUGAACAUCUUUAUGCAGAACACAUCGGGCCUGCACUUCUCCAAGAUCUCAUGAAAGAUUGUGGCAUGUGCUUGUCGUCUUUCACACACUGUUUUGUAAGUUGGAGCGCUGUAUCAUGGUAGUAUUCAAUAGAAGAGUAGAUGAUAGGCUCUGUCCCAUAGCAAUACUCAUUUGCAUUUUGCUUGUAUUUUGUGGUAACUACUACUGCCAUUGAACUGCAACCCAAAUCUCGCAAGGCCCUUGCGGUCUCUUCCCAUUUGUAGCCAGAGGCGUUUUGGAGAAUGACCAGUGUCGUUUUACCCUUUAGAUGCUUUCUAACACUCCCCAUGGUUUCUUGAAUCAACAGAUGCUCUUUGAUCCUCUUGAGGACUUGUUUGAUCCGCUCCCUGCAGUACUCCGCAUCCUCGCCCGGCGAGUGGGGUGAUUCUUGCGCUGAUUUAUCUUGCUGAUGAAGUGACGUCAUUGGCAGCAGCUCCGGCUGGAUCUGCACUUGAAUCUUCAGCGUGAUUUCUCUAAUAUUCUUCACGAUAUGAUCCUCGCCCGGUUUAUUUCUGGCUGCCUUCGUCGGUGUGUUGUCCUGCUUGGGAAGCAGCUCCUGCAGGAUGGCUAUGAAUUCGGGGUGAUGCUCCUGGACAACAAUACUGCAGGAAUCCUUUUCACGUGCUUAUUCCAGAUACUUCUUCGUCUUCUCCACUGUGUCUUCAAGGAUCUUGUUUUCCUGAGUUUGAUCCUUGCCUGCAAGGACGGCAACGUCCUGGAGCAGUGCCCGCAAGACGCCUUGCAGUACUCUUAAGGGUUCAACCCGGCGACCUUUAUUACCAGCUUCCUCAAGGUGCUCUUCGAUCUUCUCCUUGAUCUUCCAAAUCUUCUCGUCGAUAUCUUCCUCUAUGAUGCUGAUCUCGUCAGCCUCUGGAGACUGCAGCUUCUUCAGGAUGCUGAUCUCGUCAGCCUCUUGGUUCUUUCAGGCAAAACAUGUCCCAUAAAAGGAAGUUGUGGUCGAACUUUUCCAUAACGGAAUCAUGCUCCAACGCUUCAUCUAUAAUAUCGUUCCCAUCCUCUUCAUCCGGUGCUGCAACGGCGAUGGCUUGGAACGGACCAUCCUCGUGUUGGCGCAGGAGCUAGUUCAUUAGGCUUGCAGCGCACUUCCAAAGAAGGCGAGGCUUCGAGAAGGCUCGCUCCCUUCGUGGAUCAUCGUUGGUUGCCCGAUAGUAGUCUUGAUGUGGGUCGGGGUGGCUCGAUCUUUCGAUGAGAUUGAUAACUCUCGAUUUGGGUAGGAGGUGACGUUGACGAUCUGACUGCGGCCUAGGAGGCAACGCCUUAGCAAUCGAUACACCAACUCCAGAGGGUUAUUGAUCACGCGGGGGCACGAUCAACCUGACCACGAAGGUCUUUGUUCCUGCAAGCAAUCAAAGAACAAGCAAGAACAAGAUAAAUAGCAGAUGCAAUCUAAAAUUGCGACUAUACUAUAUCAAACCAAUGUCUCAACGAGACGAUAAGCUGGAAUCUUGACGACGGUAAAACAGGUGGUCUAACCGACACACGCGAUUACACGAAAGUAGCAAAGAUGGCUAAACUUUAUCUAAUCAAAACCCAAGGCUCCUUAGGGGGGCUCAUGGGGUAUAUAAAGGAGGAGGGAGAGAUAUUUUCGUCCACCUUGAGUAAGGAGGCCGAAAUCCAACUCUAUCUCUAACUUUCCUAACAAACUACAACUCUUUAGGAAACAGAAAAACAGAUCCGCCAGCUUGUUUUGUCUUCCACGGUCAGCACGAGUCGAAUAUCUUGAUGGGGCCAGAUCUGUUGGAAAGGUCUUGUAAUUACCUUUCCAACAAGUACUUGUUUGCUUGAUUUGGACACCGUAUGCGGCCUGGGUGAUUAAAACAAAUUCGGGUCUCCUGACAGCUCGGACCCGAAUCGGAUUCAACUUUAAUUCGUGAUAUCUUUCUCUAGCAAGCUCCGAAUCAUGUGCCGUUUGAUUUGUUGGAAAGUAGACUUGAUAGGCUUUACUUUGAAUCUUCCAUUGCAGGCUAUCACACUUCAUCUUCACUUCGGACUUGUAAAGUUCAAUAAGAUGCCUACAUAAUAAGAUUACACAAGAUAGUAGCUCCGUCUCUUUGCAAGUAACAUAUUGAAAACAUUUUGUAAUUGAAUUCACCUGAUUAUAAUUGUUAUUAGAUACACCAACAAUUAGGGUUCCAAUGGUCGUAUCCAUGGUUAGCAUGUCCAUAUCGUCCUCCCUUUCUUGAAAGGAAAGCCAUCCUCGGCGUCGUUUAUGCUGAAAAUAUGCUAACAAAAGAGACAAGGUAUGCGGAUGGUAUAUGUAUAUAUCGUUAUUUUUAACUCCACUCCCAUGUUGCACAAUUAAUGUUUUAUAACACAAUCUAAUGAGAUAAUUAGUCAAACAAUCAUCAUGAAUAUCAUUUCAGCAAGAAGAUUGACAAUAUGUUUUGCAUAUAUAAGUGAAACAAUAUCUUGUAUUUGGUUUGCACCGCUCACCAUUAUACCAUCCCAACACUGAAGAAGAAUAAUUAAUGGUACCCAAAUUAGUUACUACAAGAUGCUGAAAUUUAGAGCAUGUCAAAGCACUAAUAUUCAAACAAUCGUGUAAAGAACUACUUGACAAAUAAUCAACACCAAUAUUGGAGCUCUUAUCAAAAUGAUUAGGCAUAUGCAAAAAUUUAUUUUCUCUCAAGAAAGGAAAAUUAUCACAAGUAAUGCAAAUUUCAUCCACAAAAAAGUUAUUGUUGACAUCAUGUUCUCCAAUUAAAUGAAUAGCGUAUCCAUGAGCAUUAGCAAAAGAUUUGGAAAUUGUUAAUUCAGAAACUUUAUCCAUUGCAUGUGACAAAUACAUAGACUUGAUAGGCUUCAAUUUGAAUCUCUCAUUGCAGGCUAUUACUCUUCAUCUUCACUUUGGACUUGUAAAGUUUAAUAAGAUGCCUACAUAAUAAGAUUACACAAGAUAGUAGCUCCGCCUGUUUGCAAGUAACAUAUUGAAAACAUUUUGUAAUUGAAUUCACCUGAUUAUAAUUGUUAUUAGAUACACCAACAAUUAGGGUUCUAAUGGUGUAUUCAUGGUUAGCAUGUACAUAUCAAGUCUUCUUCCAAGUCAUGCUCUCUUUCAGUUACAACUCCAGCGGCAGCAUGAAACGACGCCUCUGCCGGCGACAUCAGCAGCUUGUCGGAGUCCACCGCCUUCGCCGGGACCUCGACGCCUUACUGGAGCCGCCGCUCUCCAACGUCUUGCGCCCGGGCUUUGAGGUCGCGCAGCUGGGUGGCUGCGAGGUGCCCGGGCUUUGAGGUCGCGCAGCUGGGUGGCUGCGAGGUGCUGGGCCAGCGUCUUCUUCACGAACCAAGGCACCCACCAGAGGUAACCCAGCAGGAC